GCUGAAAGCAUCUAAGCGCGAAGCCAACUUCAAGAUAAGAUUUCCCACCGCAAGGGUAAGACCCCAGAAAGACUAUCUGGUUGAUAGGUCGAAGGUGUAAGUGCAGCAAUGUAUUUAGCUUAUCGAUACUAAUAGGUCGAGGACUUGACCAAAUU
rnacentral:rRNA from 1 species